GUGGUGCGUCUGGCUGGCCGGCCAAAGGGAACUGCAGCACCAUGUACAGCUCAGUUCUGGUGGGGAGGAUGGAACAGCUUUGAGCUGGUGGCUUGGCCUGAACAUAGAAGGGGCCUGAGGCACAGAUCCUGCCCUCAGCCGCCUGCCAAUGCCUGCUGAAAGAGAUGGGUUCUGCGGUGUACCUGGGUGGAUCAAAAAAAAAUAGACUAUUUUGGAUGUUGACAGAAGAGCGCUCCAAAGAACAUCUUCCGGAGAAUGGACUGGAACAAAAGAAAACUAAGCAUUACCAGAGAAGAGCAAAAUCAUCUCCGAUUUCCAGAAAUAUCUUCCUCCUUUACAGACAAGACAUAUCUCUUGUCACAUAUGACAUUGAGAGUGACAUACAGAAGACAGAUCAGUACAGAUGGGAAUAUUUCUUAACAAGCUCAGAAAUAUCUUUCUAAGCACCCAGCCUGCGAAGAGGAAGAGGGAUGUGAACAGCCCCUGGAGAUGCGCCCCUCCACCCCCAUGAAAAGGAAGACAAAAGAGGACCUCACAGCAGCCCCCACAAGCCUGGGCGGGG